rfam:Marine bacterium AO1-C Bin2_contig__7A_len_885938_cov_106.412_ID_13, whole genome shotgun sequence.
UCGUUCGUAGCUUAGUUGCGUAGAGCAUCUGACUUUUAAUCAGAAGGUCGUGGGUUCGAAUCCCACCGGACGAA